CUUUACCGUGCCGGGCGACUGGAACUGGUGAAGACCACCCUGGCAUUUAUGCCAAUACACGCCAUGAUGGUGAUGGACCUGUCAGUCAAGACGAUAGAAGCUGCCAACAAAAUUUGCAGAGGGUUUCUGUGGAAGGGUCGCCGGGACGUGCACGAAGGGCACUGUUUGGUGGCCUGGGACAAAGUUUGUUCGCCGAAGGAGUACGGUGGUCUGGGAGUGCCCAACCUGCGCCUACUCAAUACUUCGCUGAGAGCGAGAUGGCCGUGGUUGGCGCGGACGGAUCCGGCUAGACCAUGGACAGAAUUUAACCUCCAAGUCUCAUCGGACUCGCUUGCCAUUUACAGCAGCCACGAAGUGCAUCAUUGGGGAUGGAUCGACGGUACCGUUCUGGACGGAUUGUGGUGGCUUCAGGAGGGAGCAUACACGAUAUCAUGA
rnacentral:rRNA from 1 species